rnacentral:rRNA from 1 species
UCGAGAAUCUUCGGCAAUGGACGAAAGUCUGACCGAGCGAUGCCGCGUGCGGGAUGAAGGCCUUCGGGUUGUAAACCGCUGUCAGUUGGGAGGAAGGCGCUGUGAAGAGCAGUGUUUGACCCAUCUUCAGAGGAAGUACGGGCUAAGUUCGUGCCAGCAGCCGCGGUAACACGAACCGUACGAACGUUAUUCGGAAUUAUUGGGCUUAAAGGGUGCGUAGGCGGCGUGGUUAGUCGGGUGUGAAAUCCCACAGCUCAACUGUGGAACUGCGCCCGAUACUGCCAUGCUUGAGGGAGACAGAGGUGAGCGGAACUGAUGGUGGAGCGGUGAAAUGCGUUGAUAUCAUCAGGAACACCGGUGGCGAAAGCGGCUCACUGGGUCUCUUCUGACGCUGAGGCACGAAAGCUAGGGUAGCGAACGGGAUUAGAUACCCCCGUAGUCC